GUUUGCUUUGUACCUGGGGCUUUCUGUAGAUUUAUCCCCACUGUGCUUUGUAUCUGAGGCAGCAACAUCAUUCUCCAUGCUUCCUGGGGAAACCUUCCCAGCCCCAGAGGCAUUGCAUUUUAAUUCUUGUGAUGCAUCUUCACAAUGAUAAAAACUUGCGUGUCUUCGUUCACUGAGGAGGAUCUCAGCACAAAGGAAAAACCCUAUGGGUGCUGCAGGAUUUCUGUGGGAACCAGAUUCCAAUGCCUGCGUACACGUACGACAUUGAAAGGGAUCACUUUGCAGGCAGAGUUACUGCCCUGGACAACUCUAAUUUGCUGGAAGUUAAACAGAAGGGGUUGAUUCUGGCUGCUACAUGAUAUAAAUUACCAGCAAAUUGCUCUGUAAGUUCUCAUUAUAAAGUACAUGCUGCUGUGAAGGAUUUGCUGCUUUAGUCCCAAACUUCUGUUUGUCUGCUGGUGCUUGAAGGACAACGGCAGAGCUUAACUUUUCACAAAGUCACAAAAAUCCUGGGUUGAUGCUAUUUAGUUGUCGUACUUGACCUUUCAGAUCUUCUUUUCCUUUUAUCCAAGCCAAGCACGAGGCACUUUCCAGAAGACACUUGUUGAAAUACGUUAAGGUCUUGUAUUAAAGCUGCAGAGUGUUCCCAGUAAACACAAAGCAAAGUUACAUCCGCGGAGCUCUUCCUCAGCUGGUGUAAAGCACCGUAGCACUGCCAACUUCAACAGAGCAAUACCCGUGCUUAAAUGUAGCUCCUGUGAGAGUGAGUUCUGAAAUGUGAUGAUAAUUCCAACGGGAAGAAUUUAUAUUCAUGGGUUGUUAAGGCUGGAAAAGAACCUUCAUCGCCAUCUGCAUAAAAGUUCACUUGACAAAUCUUGUUUUAAAAACUGUUCCACUGUGCGCCAUCAAAUGGAUCUGUGCUGGUGAAUUGCACUGAAACGUGGAGGCUUUGCUCCCUGUGCUAACCUCAGUGAGCUGCAGCCAUCCUGGUAUCUGAGUGCAGAGUCACUCAGGUACCUCUCAGAGGCAGCUUUGUAUUUUUGGGGCUUAUCCAACAUGCAGGAGUCAUUUUUCCUACUCCGUGGCCUGGUCCAGACCCAGCUUCACUUCCCUGCUCCAAGCUGUCGGAGGCAUUUAAUCACAGAGGCAGAACAGAAAUAACCCAGUGCUGCUCUGUCCCUUGCCUGGAUUGGUUUCCUUGCAUGGCACCCACGUGCUGUAUUGGCCCAAAGUCCAAUUCUCUCACUGAGACAGAAGCUUCCCUAGGUUUCUCUCCAUCAUAGGCAUCUUGGGCAGUGUCAUGCUGCUGGCAGCAGCUGGGGUUGGCUGUUCCUUGUCCCAAAUUCAGUCCCUCAGGGUACAUAGUGAGCCCAUGACUUUGCUGCCUGGCAAUGAGUGACUGCUGCUUUACCAUUACCAAGGUUUUUUGGGAGAAUUCAUUGGUGUUUCUUGUUUUGCACUACCAGCUUCAUCUACCAAAGGCAAUCUGUUCUGGUAGUAGAAUGGCUUUUUGUUUUUACUUUACUUUUGCUCAUAUCUUGGGGCUAGUGAAGAAGCAGUGUUUUCUGC